rnacentral:rRNA from 1 species
GCGGCGGACGGGUGAGUAAUGCCUAGGAAAUUGCCCUAUGUGGGGGAUAACCAUUGGAAACGAUGGCUAAUACCGCAUGAUGCCUACGGGCCAAAGAGGGGGACCUUCGGGCCUCUCGCGUCAGGAUAUGCCUAGGUGGGAUUAGCUAGUUGGUGAGGUAAGGGCUCACCAAGGCGACGAUCCCUAGCUGGUCUGAGAGGAUGAUCAGCCACACUGGAACUGAGACACGGUCCAGACUCCUACGGGAGGCAGCAGUGGGGAAUAUUGCACAAUGGGCGCAAGCCUGAUGCAGCCAUGCCGCGUGUAUGAAGAAGGCCUUCGGGUUGUAAAGUACUUUCAGUCGUGAGGAAGGCGGCGUCGUUAAUAGCGGCGUUGUUUGACGUUAGCGACAGAAGAAGCACCGGCUAACUCCGUGCCAGCAGCCGCGGUAAUACGGAGGGUGCGAGCGUUAAUCGGAAUUACUGGGCGUAAAGCGCAUGCAGGUGGUUUGUUAAGUCAGAUGUGAAAGCCCGGGGCUCAACCUCGGAAUAGCAUUUGAAACUGGCAGACUAGAGUACUGUAGAGGGGGGUAGAAUUUCAGGUGUAGCGGUGAAAUGCGUAGAGAUCUGAAGGAAUACCGGUGGCGAA